UCCCCGAAAGCUAUUUAGGUAGCGCCUCGUGAACUCAUCUUCGGGGGUAGAGCACUGUUUCGGCUAGGGGGUCAUCCCGACUUACCAACCCGAUGCAAACUACGAAUACCGAAGAAUGUUAUCACGGGAGACACACGGCGGGUGCUAACGUCCGUCGUGAAGAGGGAAACAACCCAGACCGCCAGCUAAGGUCCCAAAGUCAUGGUUAAGUGGGAAACGAUGUGGGAAGGCACAGACAGCCAGGAUGUUGGCUUAGAAGCAGCCAUCAUUUAAAGAAAGCGUAAUAGCUCACUGGUCGAGUCGGCCUGCGCGGAAGAUGUAACGGGGCUAAACCAUGCACCGAAGCUGCGGCAGCGACACUAUGUGUUGUUGGGUAGGGGAGCGUUCUGUAAGCCUGCGAAGGUGUGCUGUGAGGCAUGCUGGAGGUAUCAGAAGUGCGAAUGCUGACAUAAGUAACGAUAAAGCGGGUGAAAAGCCCGCUCGCCGGAAGACCAAGGGUUCCUGUCCAACGUUAAUCGGGGCAGGGUGAGUCGACCCCUAAGGCGAGGCCGAAAGGCGUAGUCGAUGGGAAACAGGUUAAUAUUCCUGUACUUGGUGUUACUGCGAAGGGGGGACGGAGAAGGCUAUGUUAGCCGGGCGACGGUUGUCCCGGUUUAAGCAUGUAGGCUGGUUAUCCAGGCAAAUCCGGAUAAUCAAGGCUGAGGUGUGAUGACGAGGCACUACGGUGCUGAAGUAACAAAUGCCCUGCUUCCAGGAAAAGCCUCUAAGCAUCAGGUAACAUCAAAUCGUACCCCAAACCGACACAGGUGGUCAGGUAGAGAAUACCAAGGCGCUUGAGAGAACUCGGGUGAAGGAACUAGGCAAAAUGGUGCCGUAACUUCGGGAGAAGGCACGCUGGUGUGUAGGUGAAGUCCCUGCGGAUGGAGCUGAGACCAGUCGAAGAUACCAGCUGGCUGCAACUGUUUAUUAAAAACACAGCACUGUGCAAACACGAAAGUGGACGUAUACGGUGUGACGCCUGCCCGGUGCCGGAAGGUUAAUUGAUGGGGUUAUCCGUAAGGAGAAGCUCUUGAUCGAAGCCCCGGUAAACGGCGGCCGUAACUAUAACGGUCCUAAGGUAGCGAAAUUCCUUGUCGGGUAAGUUCCGACCUGCACGAAUGGCGUAAUGAUGGCCAGGCUGUCUCCACCCGAGACUCAGUGAAAUUGAACUCGCUGUGAAGAUGCAGUGUACCCGCGGCAAGACGGAAAGACCCCGUGAACCUUUACUAUAGCUUGACACUGAACAUUGAGCCUUGAUGUGUAGGAUAGGUGGGAGGCUUUGAAGCGUGGACGCCAGUCUGCGUGGAGCCAACCUUGAAAUACCACCCUUUAAUGUUUGAUGUUCUAACGUUGGCCCCUGACCGGGGUUGCGGACAGUGUCUGGUGGGUAGUUUGACUGGGGCGGUCUCCUCCCAAAGCGUAACGGAGGAGCACGAAGGUUAGCUAAUCCUGGUCGGACAUCAGGAGGUUAGUGCAAUGGCAUAAGCUAGCUUGACUGCGAGCGUGACGGCGCGAGCAGGUGCGAAAGCAGGUCAUAGUGAUCCGGUGGUUCUGAAUGGAAGGGCCAUCGCUCAACGGAUAAAAGGUACUCCGGGGAUAACAGGCUGAUACCGCCCAAGAGUUCAUAUCGACGGCGGUGUUUGGCACCUCGAUGUCGGCUCAUCACAUCCUGGGGCUGAAGUAGGUCCCAAGGGUAUGGCUGUUCGCCAUUUAAAGUGGUACGCGAGCUGGGUUUAGAACGUCGUGAGACAGUUCGGUCCCUAUCUGCCGUGGGCGCUGGAGAAUUGAGGGGGGCUGCUCCUAGUACGAGAGGACCGGAGUGGACGCAUCACUGGUGUUCGGGUUGUCAUGCCAAUGGCACUGCCCGGUAGCUAAAUGCGGAAGAGAUAAGUGCUGAAAGCAUCUAAGCACGAAACUUGCCCCGAGAUGAGUUCUCCCUGAGACUAUAAGUCUCCUGAAGGAACGUUAAAGACGAUGACGUUGAUAGGCCGGGUGUGUAAGCGCAGCGAUGCGUUGAGCUAACCGGUACUAAUGAACCGUGAGGCUUAACCUU
rnacentral:rRNA from 1 species